AUGAACGCUGACAGAAUGCUUAACACAUGCAAGUCAACUUGAAUUUGGGUUUUUAACUUAGGUUUGGGUGGCGGACGGGUGAGUAACGCGUAAAGAACUUGCCUCACAGCUAGGGACAACAUUUGGAAACGAAUGCUAAUACCUAAUAUUAUGAUAAUAGGGCAUCCUAUAAUUAUGAAAGCUAUAAGCGCUGUGAGAGAGCUUUGCGUCCCAUUAGCUAGUUGGAGAGGUAACGGCUCGCCAAGGCGAUGAUGGGUAGCCGGCCUGAGAGGGUGAUCGGCCACAAGGGGACUGAGACACGGCCCUUACUCCUACGGGAGGCAGCAGUGGGGAAUAUUGAACAAUGGACCAAGAGUCUGAUCCAGCAAUUCUGUGUGCACGAUGAAGUUUUUCGGAAUGUAAAGUGCUUUCAGUUGGGAAGAAAGAAAUGACGGUACCAACAGAAGAAGUGACGGCUAAAUACGUG
rnacentral:rRNA from 1 species